rnacentral:rRNA from 1 species
GAAUGCUGACAUAAGUAACGAUAAAGCGGGUGAAAAGCCCGCUCGCCGGAAGACCAAGGGUUCCUGUCCAACGUUAAUCGGGGCAGGGUGAGUCGACCCCUAAGGCGAGGCCGAAAGGCGUAGUCGAUGGGAAACGGGUUAAUAUUCCCGUACUUGGUGUUACUGCGAAGGGGGGACGGAGAAGGCUAUGUUGGCCGGGCGACGGUUGUCCCGGUUUAAGCGUGUAGGUGUGUGUUCCAGGUAAAUCCGGUUCACUUUAACACUGAGGCGUGACGACGAGGCACUACGGUGCUGAAGCAACAAAUGCCCUGCUUCCAGGAAAAGCCUCUAAGCAUCAGGUAACAUCAAAUCGUACCCCAAACCGACACAGGUGGUCAGGUAGAGAAUACCAAGGCGCUUGAGAGAACUCGGGUGAAGGAACUAGGCAAAAUGGUGCCGUAACUUCGGGAGAAGGCACGCUGACACGUAGGUGAAGUGAUUUACUCAUGGAGCUGAAGUCAGUCGAAGAUACCAGCUGGCUGCAACUGUUUAUUAAAAACACAGCACUGUGCAAACACGAAAGUGGACGUAUACGGUGUGACGCCUGCCCGGUGCCGGAAGGUUAAUUGAUGGGGUCAGCGCAAGCGAAGCUCCUGAUCGAAGCCCCGGUAAACGGCGGCCGUAACUAUAACGGUCCUAAGGUAGCGAAAUUCCUUGUCGGGUAAGUUCCGACCUGCACGAAUGGCGUAAUGAUGGCCAGGCUGUCUCCACCCGAGACUCAGUGAAAUUGAACUCGCUGUGAAGAUGCAGUGUACCCGCGGCAAGACGGAAAGACCCCGUGAACCUUUACUAUAGCUUGACACUGAACAUUGAGCCUUGAUGUGUAGGAUAGGUGGGAGGCUUUGAAGUGUGGACGCCAGUCUGCAUGGAGCCGACCUUGAAAUACCACCCUUUAAUGUUUGAUGUUCUAACGUGGACCCGUGAUCCGGGUUGCGGACAGUGUCUGGUGGGUAGUUUGACUGGGGCGGUCUCCUCCUAAAGAGUAACGGAGGAGCACGAAGGUUGGCUAAUCCUGGUCGGACAUCAGGAGGUUAGUGCAAUGGCAUAAGCCAGCUUGACUGCGAGCGUGACGGCGCGAGCAGGUGCGAAAGCAGGUCAUAGUGAUCCGGUGGUUCUGAAUGGAAGGGCCAUCGCUCAACGGAUAAAAGGUACUCCGGGGAUAACAGGCUGAUACCGCCCAAGAGUUCAUAUCGACGGCGGUGUUUGGCACCUCGAUGUCGGCUCAUCACAUCCUGGGGCUGAAGUAGGUCCCAAGGGUAUGGCUGUUCGCCAUUUAAAGUGGUACGCGAGCUGGGUUUAGAACGUCGUGAGACAGUUCGGUCCCUAUCUGCCGUGGGCGCUGGAGAACUGAGGGGGGCUGCUCCUAGUACGAGAGGACCGGAGUGGACGCAUCACUGGUGUUCGGGUUGUCAUGCCAAUGGCACUGCCCGGUAGCUAAAUGCGGAAGAGAU